rnacentral:rRNA from 1 species
GUUGCGGUAAAAGCUCGUAGUCUGAKUUCUGUUCCGGACUGGCCGGGGAGGUCACCGCCCGGUGCUUUCCCAGGUCAGGKUCCGAACAGYUUUACCCGCCGCUUUCAAGCGAGCGGGGGCCAAGCCGGUUCUGCCGGGAUGCUCUUCACCGAGUGUCCCGGGCGGCCGGCCGGUUCACCUUGAACAAAUGAAAGUGCUCAAGGCAGGUUAUUUCUUAUUGACACUAAAGCCCGAAUGUUAACUGCAUGGAAUGAUGGAAGAUGAUCUCGGUUCCAUUUUGCUGGGUGGGGGGAAUCCGAGUUAAUGAUAAACAGGGACUGUCGGGGGCAUCCGUACUACGACGCGAGAGGUGAAAUUCAGUGACCGUCGUAGGACGAACAACAGCGAAAGCAUUUGCCAAGAAUGUCUUCGUUGAUCAAGAACGAUAGUUAGAGGAUCGAAGGCGAUCAUAUACCGCCCUAGUUCUAACCCUAAACGAUGCUGACCAGCUAUUCGCCGUCGUUAUUCCCAUGACGUGGCGAGACGCCCCCGGGAAACCUCGAGUCUUUGAGUUCCGGGGGUAGUAUGGUUGCAAAACUGAAACUUAAAGGAAUUGACGGAAGGGCACCACCAGGAGUGGAGCCUGCGGCUUAAUUUGACUCAACACGGGGAACCUCACCAGGCCCGGACACUAGAAGGAUUGACAGAUUAAGAGCUCUUUCUCAAUUUGGUGGGUGGUGGUGCAUGGCCGUUCUUAGUUGGUGGAGUGAUUUGUCUGGUUAAUUCCGGUAACGAACGAGACUCUGGCCUACUAACUAGUGGGUGGGUGUUCCGGUAAGGGGCCCCACCCGACAAUGUCUUCUUAGAGGGAUGAGCAGCGAGUAUAGCUGCAGGAGAUUGAGCAAUAACAGGUCUGUGAUGCCCUUAGAAG